rnacentral:sRNA from 1 species
GUUUUGUACACUGUGCUAGGUUCCUAUAAAUGUUUAUCUUACUGACCAGUUGAACAUUUCUAUGAAUAUAAGCCACGGAGUUUUUUUCUUGCUUUUUCCCUGACUCUUACCUGUUUUCAUAGGUUCUCUUUGUAAAGAAUCCUUUUCUGGUCAAGUUUCUUCUUCAUCACUCAUGCCACUUACUCCAUUCUGGACCCUCCUUCAGUCAAAUGUUCCUGUGCUUCAACCUCCAUUACCCUUGGAAAUGCCACCACCCCCACCUCCACCUCCAGAAUCACCUCCACCCCCUCCUCCACCACCUCCUCCUGCGGAAGAUGGUGAGAUCCAGGAGGUAGAGAUGGAGGAUGAGGGAAGUGAGGAGCCCCCUGCCCCAGGAACAGAGGAAGACACCCCUUUGAAACCUUCAGCACAAACCACAGUUGUAACUAGCCAGAGUUCAGUUGAUUCCACCAUCUCUAGUUCUUCUUCCACUAAAGGAAUAAAGAGGAAAGCUACAGAAAUUAGCACUGCAGUGGUUCAGAGGUCAGCUACCAUUGGCAGUUCUCCAGUUCUCUAUAGCCAGUCAGCUAUAGCUACAGGUCACCAGGCAGCAGGGAUUGGAAACCAGGCAACAGGAAUUGGACAUCAGACAAUACCAGUUAGCCUUCCAGCAGCAGGAAUGGGUCAUCAGGCCAGAGGAAUGAGCCUGCAGUCAAAUUACCUUGGACUAGCGGCAGCACCUGCAAUUAUGAGUUAUGCAGAAUGUUCUGUCCCAAUUGGAGUGACUGCUCCCUCAUUGCAGCCAGUUCAGGCCCGAGGUGCUGUGCCUACCGCUACCAUUAUAGAACCACCACCACCACCUCCUCCUCCUCCUCCUCCACCACCACCAGCUCCCAAAAUGCCACCACCUGAAAAGACAAAAAAAGGAAAGAAAGACAAG